rnacentral:misc_RNA from 1 species
AACCAUUCUCACCUGCGGCUAGACCUGCGGAAGGAUCAUUACCGAGUUAUACAACUCAUCAACCCCUGUGAACUUACCUACAACGUUGCUUCGGCGGGAACAGACGGCCCCGUAAAACGGGCCGCCCCCGCCAGAGGACCCCUAACUCUGUUUUUAUAAUGUUUUUCUGAGUAAACAAGCAAAUAAAUUAAAACUUUCAGCAAUGGAUCU